CCCCGCCUCCCGGCUGGGAGGGAGCGCGAGGCACGAGCGCCGCGGCGGGAGGGCUUCCCCCAGCGGCGGUCCUGCGAGCCCACGGGUGGCGUGGAUUUUGGCAGUAGCUGGAAAACAGCAUCAGUUUCACAAGCUUGCAGACAUCACCUCCUUUCUGUCUGGAGAGACCCCCGUGCAGUCUCCAUCCUGCUGUUGGAGCUUUGGCAGGUUGGCACAGAUUUUAAAUGGGUCCCUCCCAUCUUGCAAGUCCUUGAAGAAGAGAUCUUGCCUUACUAAUAUUUGUAUCUCCGGGGCUGUCUGCGCCUGAGACAUUGUAAGCUUUCAGCGUAUUGUUACGUAGGUCCUUGUGGCAACUCCCCGCCGGCCGAGCGCUCAUGCUCAGACGCCUUCACGCACGCCUCCUCCUCUCUCUGAGCUCAGCUCAGUCGUCACUCUUCAGGAGGGUCCUCUUGACCACCCAGACUGAGGUGGCCCCUUGGAAGUCACCCUGGACUGCACCACGGCAUUUUAAUUCCCUCACAUCAAGAGCUUUCUCUCCCAGUCUCCAGAAUCCUUCCCAUGCCACCGGGAUAUGGUAAAGCUAAAGUUCAUCAGAGUCGAAACCUUGAAUGAUCUUUAAAGAAGCAGAGAAAAAGCAUAAAACGAGUCCAACGUCCUCUCAUUUUACUCCAAGCUGCAAUGGAAGGACAUCAUUCUUAAACGAGGACACCUACAGUCCACAAGAGAAGAGAACCUCUCUCUGUUGCUCACAACUAACUUCCUGACACAUAGUUUGUGCUCAGUAAGUAUCUGUGACUGCUUCAGAGCUACCUGUUGAAGGAAUUCAUUACUGAGUGAAAAAAAGGGUUCAGGGAAGGACAGAAAGGUCACUGGUGAGGUCAUCCAGAGGAUCUGGAAUAUGACAUAUGCCUAAUUCCUGGACUGCCUAUUUGGGGAGUUAACAGCCUAGUUAAUAAGGUUCUAUCCUGAGAUGCUUUGGGAUUUCUAUGUCCUCAGACACUGCCAAGGAGAUUCACAAAGGCCGUGGAGCUGGAGGCCACAAAUGGCGAACAAAGGGUAUCUCGCUUUCAACACGACUGACGGAACGUUAUUUCACUUUGACCUGCCUAUCCUUUGGUUCUGCAAUUUGAUUGGUAAUUGAAAGCUGGUGGAGGAGGCUUGGGCAGAGCAAGCAGGCAGCAGAGACGCCGGGCGGCAGUGCUGAAUAAAAGUCAAGCUGAACAGACAGAGCCGCGUGUCUUUUGCCCAGAAACGAGAGUUGAUAUCCCCAAGGCAGCGAAGGAGACCACAGAAAAGGAGGCUGAGAUCUGAGUUCUGAGUCCUGGUGAAAGGCAACAGGCUGAAUAAUGGCCCCCAAAGAUGUCCACAUCCUAAUCUCCAGAACCUGUGAAUACAUCACCUAGAUGGUAAAAUGGACUGUGCAGAUGUGGCUGAGAACUUCCACAUGGAUGUAGGAGAUGAUGUUCCCCUUGGGAGAGAAGAUCAAAGCCACUCUGGGUCUACUUGCUGCCGAGUUUUACUCAUUCAUUGCAGCUUCUACUCCCACCGGCCUGCAGGGUUCUGUGAUAAUGUGGGCUCAAAACUUUGGAAAAAAGAAGAGGGCAGAGAAAAAUCUGUAGUUAUAAAGCACCUAUGCCAGGGCUUGGCUAGAGAGAGAGAGAAGGUUAUGGUUGAUAUGUGGGAACCUGCCUCUAAACAAUCUAUUUUGAAAGACAACAUUUAGUAAUGUAAGUAGCAAGUUACUCCAGAGUGAUGCUAAAGAUGACUCCAGAAAACAUGGGGCCCAUCAAAUGAUAAAUAUUUUUAAAAAGAAAAAAAAAACAAACAGGCAAGACACUAUAGAGUGGAGCUCAGCAAGUGUGUGUUGGGAGACUUGUCCAUUAAUCAACCAUAAUUGGGUGGGAAUGAUGUGUCCAACAGUAGCUCCGGGGGAAUGACAAUACCACUGAUAGAAAAGGGGAAGGUAGGGAAAGACCUAGUCUUUAUUAUAAAUUAGAUUUGGUCGAUGUGUUGAACUGAUCAUAAAUAUCCAGUUGCCUGUGGAUACCAGGUGGUUGAACAGAGAGGACCCCAAGGCAAUCUUUGAUGAUCAGCAGCAUUGAGGCAACUCUUAGCUAAGGACCCGAGAUCACAUUUGGUGUGAUCCUUUUAAAGAGAUGUUGAUGCACAGGUGUGUCCAGAUGGAGAAACCAGGAUGGUGUAGGGCUGAGAACUGCGGCUAGAACAUUCAGCAUAGUCUAUGAGCAAAGCCUACAUGGACGUAUUUUGCCGUCUGCAUUCAGGGGCCUGACUGCAGCAGUAGACUUGUUCUGCAUCCCUGCUAGGAGACAGUUUGCCAUGGGACUCUCACGUUUCUGCUCAUGCUGCAGGCAGGCACGAGUGAUCUGUGUUCCAGACCGUCUUUCCAAGGAUGUUUGUAUAGCAAAGACAGACAUAAUGUCUUCUUCCAGAGCAAAGGGCAGAUGUGCUUACGGCUCAGUGUAAAAGUUUCAAGUUUCCUAAACUCCUCAACUCAGAGGUCCUCUCCUGCAUCACACCCACUGUGUACGUAGAUAUCUUCUGGUCCUCUUCAGGGUGUCUUACGGGAAUUGGAGCUUGGGGACCUGGCUCGACAAUGCUGAUAACUCUUGGCUACUGCAGUUGUGGUGGGUAAUAAUCUGUCCUUUGUCUCUGACUCAGGAAUCUGAUGUUUUCAACCAGCAUCCAUUAAAUGGUGGCAUGCUGACCAUGCGUUAGCUCGCAAGCAGGGAAAAAAAAUCUCAGGCCCUUUAGAGUUUUUGACAGUUACACUCAGAUUCUCAUUCUGGGUCCAUGGAGGAACUGAAGAAAGACCCUGAAAGGAACCUGCAAUUAAAGCCAAGUCAGAGAGAGUAUUUCUCUAAGGGAUGAGAAAAGGGAGAAAAAAAGAACAGGGCCUGAUUGCUUUGGGGCACGCCUCUCAUUAUGGAUGCGGCUCAGACAUUUCGGGAGCAUAUAUUAAGGAUGGUACAGGAUCACGCAACCAAGAGCAUGCAGACAGUCUAACAAAUGACAAGCAGGAUAAGGCGGGAAAUGAGCUGUGGGUUUUUUUAAUGCAAAAAAAAAAAGAAAAUUUUAACAUAAAUUUGCACCAAAAAGAAUACAUUCAAAAUGGACUAGCCUCUCAUACUUUUCUAAAAUAAAAGUCUGUGAAUUUAAGUGAAUGUUUGUAACCCUAGGGCUUCAUUUUAAUUUUUUUUUCCUCGAAAUGAGUAAUUAUUACAGUAUUAUUAUGCAAUUACCUGCUUCCUUGGUGCUGACAGAAAAAUUCAUUGCAAUAUAAAAUUCCUGCUGGGUCUUGGAGGAAGGAGUGUGUAUCUUCAGCACUCUCGCAAGUGCCCUUGAGCUCCCAGAAAAAUCCAGUGGAGAGCUGAGAGGGGCAUAAGGCCCAAGACAAAUUUGUCUUCCAACAAGUUGCUGGUGUGCUGCUAAAAGAAGUUUGAAAGACAUGUCUCACCCUUGCACACAUUUAAAUUGACAUUUAAUUUAUGAAAUAUAAAUAUAAAGAGUUGCAAAGGAUUUAAUUUCCAAUGAGUUGUUAAUCAUAUGAGAAAGAAAAUUGUCCCAAAGCUGUUUGUGGUAGAACUUUUUUGUAUGAUGUAAUUUAUAGCCCCUUCAGUGAAGUAAUUAUGAUUCCUGAUAAAAUGCUUGAGUAAUCUCCGGAUAGACUUUAACAGGAUUAAGAAAUCCCAAGAAGUUAGAGCUCCCCACUUGACUAUCUGAAAACAUGUCAAUCAGACUUGGGCUGUUUGGUUGUGGCACAAUUUCUGUUUUUCUACAGAUCUCUUCCAAGAGAGAAUCCCUGAAUUGAGGCCAGUUUGAAAUAGAAUUUUCACACAUACUUAGAACAAAUUUGUCUGAGAAGUCAUUCUAACAAUUGACAUUUAAAAAUAAAUGUGUUACAUCAUUUUUAAAAUUAUAGGCAAUGGAAUCUAAAAACCAAAAUGGUUUGAUUCUCAGCAUAAUCUACAUGAAAAAAAUUCAGAAGCAAGCUAUUUUUUGACCCCUGGAAGUUUUACAUUUGUCUUUUUCUCCCACUAGAUUCACACUUCUACCCUCCAUUUUAUCCUAGUAUAAUAUUUCUUACAAGUGAAAGUUAAAAAUUAAUGAACCUCUUCUGAUUUUCUACAACAAAAGUCAGUCAGUGAAUCUCUGUGACUAUAAUGCUUUACUUUUUUGUUCCUGGGUUGAGUAAUUAUUAUAAUGAUUAUUAUUACCCAACUGAUAAGAGUCUACAAAUAUAUUACAUAUUUUGAUAAAUUACUAAAUGUAAAAUUUUAAUUUUAUUGGGCAUACACCUCUUACUGAGAUGAAUGGGGCUGGAUUAUUCCCAUCCCCUUUCCCCUUGCCAGAAGGACAACAAAUUCAUAAGUGAAAAUUCCCAUUACUAGAGAGAGGGGGUUCACCAUGAAGUCUACUCUUGUUUUUUGUGUUUAUGGAUGUAAGCUCUGAGGAGUGUUGCUCACAUAACAAGUACAUAGACUGGAAUGCUACUCAGCUCUGGAUUUCUGAGUUACAUUCUGAAAUCACAUUAAAAAACUAUCUGCCAGCUGUCUUGACUAGGUGCAACUUUGUUGAAAGCAAAGAAUUGAAAAAAUGAUCUGCAAAACGAUUUGCUCUUCAGUCACUGAUGUUUAAUAUAACUCAAGGAUUUCAAAUCAUCCCUGUUAGUAAUCCAAGGGCUUUAAUACCCCAGGGCAGUGCCCAGGGCUGUGCAGGUAAAUUGACUCUCUUGCGAAAAAAGAUAAAGAACGAAGGGGAGAAAGUUCUGCUUUGUAGCUUUUGCUCAUUUCCAUGGUGUAAAUACUUCCAUCAUGGUCAAUUCCAAGCUACCACGUUGACUUUGCUGAUGAGUUGGGAAGCGAUGUGCAUGAUUGGCACCCCCUGCAGGUAUGAGACAGCCCAGUGCACAACUGUGGUGCCCCUCUAAGGGUCAGAGAGGGAGAGGAGUGUGCCUGUUUUUGGAAAGGGACAGGUGGUGGUGAAAAGCAAGGUGGGAGAUGCGGACUGGCCUGACCUCAGGAAAUCAGUUAAUGACAGAGCACCCUUGGAUGCCGAGGACAUUGGUUCCCCGUGCCUUCCUACCCCUUGGAAAGGCUGUGCCCCCGAGGCUCCAUUUGCAGCCUUGUGAAGACAACUGGUUGAGAUUCAGGGUGGAGGACUUGGAGGCAUCCCGGCCACGGCUCACAUCCCGCCUCUACAGCUUACGAUGUUUGAGGACUUGGACUAUUAACUGCUGUGAGUCUUUGUUUUCUCCUAUAAAAUAGGAAAAGCCAAUGCCUACUUGACAAGGGAGUAAGAGGCAGCGGUGGUGUGUGUACAGUGCUGGCAUCCAGCAGAGGCUUACAGAUGGCUGCUACUAUCAGAGUCCUUUCAGUUGAGUUGAAGGGAAGCAAGCAGAGGGUUGACGGCCUAGGUGUUGGAAUGAAGGGAACAGGUGCUUUGCUACUCAGGGUUUUUAUACUCCAAAGCAGUGACUGCUUUGAUUAUUUUUAAAUGCUCACUUCAAAUCAGAACUUCCAGCUUGUUUCUCCCCUUUUCAUAUAAUCUUUCAUCUUAUGGAAUGCAGAGCCUGGGGUCUCCACUAGGAUUGGGAAACACACCAGGGGCAACAGCUUCUCUCUCAGGGAGUGGACCGCAAGGCCAGUCCGUCCGGGACUGAACCAGAGAGUUAGGAGCCACGCAACAAAGGGACUGUUUCUAAGGUAAUUUCACUUGUAAGGCAAUCCUGGAGCCUGGUCCCCCAGCGUUCAUUAGAGUGAAGUUCCUGGUGGCUGUACGCUCCUGUUAAGAAGGCUUUGUAAAGAUUUGUUUACUGAUGACAAAUGGCAGGGCAAAAUUGUGUCACUGCAUUAUAAACAAAUCCAGGGUACAACCAAUAGCUCACAUUGUACUUUAUUUUCCUUUAUAAUAUUAGCUGGACAGACAAGGAAAGUUUACUGGCAAUGUGACUUUUUUCCAAUAACACAGAGUGUCAUUAUAUUUAAUGCUGGCCAGCUACAGACUUAUUUUAACUACAUAAAGUAUGCUUAUCAUAUAUGUUUGUGUGUGUGCAGAAUUUUGCAGGUGAUUUCCCACCACCCGGUCUUAAAAAUAGCCCAUGGAAGGUAAAAAUGUGAAAACCUUGAUAACAGACGCUUUCAAUACAAAAACACCUUUAUACACUUAUUUUAUUUAAAACAGAAAUAAUCCCAGUAACUCAAAACAAAAGCCAAACUUGGUUGAAAACCGAAGAAGGAUAGUAUAAUAAACACAGCCACCAAAGCUUCCCCAGAAGAAAUGUGAUUGGCUAUUCCUCCUUCAAAUGCUACCUGGAGGGAAAAAAUUAAGUAAAUGAGCUUGCCAGAAGGCCCACUACAGCUUCCUCAAAAGGCUUAGGUAUGUGGCAUUACUAAUACACUAGAGCCAUAUUUAGUAACAGUCUCAGGAUCUUUUGAUUAAGCUUCUCCAUCUUCCACAGUCGUUUUUGUCUGCUGGGCUUAGGCUGAUACACAAAACAACCUUAC